rnacentral:tRNA from 1 species
AAAUAAGUGGCAGAAAAAUUGCAUUGGUUUUAAACACCUUAAAUAAGGAUUCCCUUCUUAUUUU